rnacentral:rRNA from 1 species
GCGUAACGCGUAUGCAACCUACCUUUAACAGGGGGAUAACACUGAGAAAUUGGUACUAAUACCCCAUAAUAUCAUAGAAGGCAUCUUUUAUGGUUGAAAAUUCCGAUGGUUAGAGAUGGGCAUGCGUUGUAUUAGCUAGUUGGUGGGGUAACGGCUCACCAAGGCGACGAUACAUAGGGGGACUGAGAGGUUAACCCCCCACACUGGUACUGAGACACGGACCAGACUCCUACGGGAGGCAGCAGUGAGGAAUAUUGGUCAAUGGACGCAAGUCUGAACCAGCCAUGCCGCGUGCAGGAUGACGGCUCUAUGAGUUGUAAACUGCUUUUGUACGAGGGUAAACGCAGAUACGUGUAUCUGUCUGAAAGUAUCGUACGAAUAAGGAUCGGCUAACUCCGUGCCAGCAGCCGCGGUAAUACGGAGGAUUCAAGCGUUAUCCGGAUUUAUUGGGUUUAAAGGGUGCGUAGGCGGUUUGAUAAGUUAGAGGUGAAAUUUCGGGGCUCAACCCUGAACGUGCCUCUAAUACUGUUGAGCUAGAGAGUAGUUGCGGUAGGCGGAAUGUAUGGUGUAGCGGUGAAAUGCUUAGAGAUCAUACAGAACACCGAUUGCGAAGGCAGCUCACCAAACUAUAUCUGACGUUGAGGCACGAAAGCGUGGGGAGCAAACAGGAUUAGAUACCCUGGUAGUCCACGCAGUAAACGAUGAUAACUCGUUGUCGGCGAUACACAGUCGGUGACUAAGCGAAAGCGAUAAGUUAUCCACCUGGGGAGUAC